rnacentral:ncRNA from 1 species
AUAUUUUUCAUGCAAGUCGACGGAUUUUGAAAUCUAGGAUGCGGAAGGAAGCUGAUGAAUAGGAGACCCUGUUUAUCUGUGGCAAUAUAUAUCCUAUUAGAACUUCGAAUCAGCUUAUUUUGACUCAAAAGAUGAAGCUAUGCGUGAGUGAGACGAAGAUAGAAGAAACUAUGAUGGAGGCUUGAAGCGAUACUGACGUGCGAAUCAUUCAUCUGACUUGAGUAUAAGGCGAAAGACUAAUCAAACCAUUAAGUAAUUG